rnacentral:rRNA from 1 species
GGGGAAUAUUGCACAAUGGGCGCAAGCCUGAUGCAGCAACGCCGCGUGAAGGAAGACGGUUUUCGGAUUGUAAACUUCUGUUCUUAGUGAAGAAUAAUGACGGUAGCUAAGGAGCAAGCCACGGCUAACUACGUGCCAGCAGCCGCGGUAAUACGUAGGUGGCAAGCGUUGUCCGGAAUUACUGGGUGUAAAGGGAGCGCAGGCGGGUGAUCAAGUCAGCUGUGAAAACUACGGGCUUAACCCGUAGACUGCAGUUGAAACUGUUCAUCUUGAGUGAAGUAGAGGUUGGCGGAAUUCCGAGUGUAGCGGUGAAAUGCGUAGAUAUUCGGAGGAACACCGGUGGCGAAGGCGGCCAACUGGGCUUUAACUGACGCUGAGGCUCGAAAGUGUGGGGAGCAAACAGGAUUAGAUACCCUGGUAGUCCACACUGUAAACGAUGAUUGCUAGGUGUGGGGGGUCUGACCCCUUCCGUGCCGGAGCUAACGCAAUAAGCAAUCCACCUGGGGAGUACGACCGCAAGGUUGAAACUCAAAGGAAUUGACGGGGACCCGCACAAGCAGUGGAUUAUGUGGUUUAAUUCGAAGCAACGCGAAGAACCUUACCAGCACUUGACAUCCAACUAACGAAAUAGAGAUAUAUUAGGUGCCCUUCGGGGAAAGUUGAGACAGGUGGUGCAUGGUUGUCGUCAGCUCGUGUCGUGAGAUGUUGGGUUAAGUCCCGCAACGAGCGCAACCCUCGCCAUUAGUUGCUACGCAAGAGCACUCUAAUGGGACCGCUACCGACAAGGUGGAGGAAGGUGGGGACGACGUCAAAUCAUCAUGCCCCUUAUGUGCUGGGCUACACACGUAAUACAAUGGCCAUCAACAGAGAGAAGCAAUACCGCGAGGUGGAGCAAAACUUCAAAAAUGGUCUCAGUUCGGACUGCAGGCUGCAACCCGACUACACGAAGCUGGAAUUGCUAGUAAUCGUGGAUCAGCAUGCCACGGUGAAUACGUUCCCG